GGUCCAGGUAGCUGCCUUCGCCAUGGAUGUUCCUCCUGAUCUCUACGCAUUUCACUGCUACACCAGGAAUUCCGCUACCCUCUACCACACUCUAGUCGCCCAGUAUCCACUGCAGUUCCCAGGUUGAGCCCAGGGCUUUCACAACGGACUUAAACGACCACCUACGCACGCUUUACGCCCAGUAAUUCCGAGUAACGCUUGCACCCUUCGUAUUACCGCGGCUGCUGGCACGAAGUUAGCCGGUGCUUAUUCUUUGGGUACCGUCAUCCCAACCGGGUAUUAGCCAGCUGGAUUUCUUUCCCAACAAAAGGGCUUUACAACCCGAAGGCCUUCUUCACCCACGCGGUAUGGCUGGAUCAGGCUUGCGCCCAUUGUCCAAUAUUCCCCACUGCUGCCUCCCGUAGGAGUCUGGACCGUGUCUCAGUUCCAGUGUGGCUGAUCAUCCUCUCAGACCAGCUACGGAUCGUCGCCUUGGUGGGCCUUUACCCCGCCAACUAGCUAAUCCGACAUCGGCUCAUUCAAUCGCGCAAGGUCCGAAGAUCCCCUGCUUUCACCCGUAGGUCGUAUGCGGUAUUAGCGUAAGUUUCCCUACGUUAUCCCCCACGACAGAGUAGAUUCCGAUGUAUUCCUCACCCGUCCGCCACUCGCCACCCAAAGAGCAAGCUCCUCUGUGCUGCCGUUCGACUUGCAUGUGUUAGGCCUACCGCCA
rnacentral:rRNA from 1 species